AUACGUAGGGUGCGAGCGUUGUCCGGAAUUACUGGGCGUAAAGAGCUCGUAGGUGGUUUGUCGCGUCGUCUGUGAAAUUCCGGGGCUUAACUCCGGGCGUGCAGGCGAUACGGGCAUAACUUGAGUACUGUAGGGGAGACUGGAAUUCCUGGUGUAGCGGUGAAAUGCGCAGAUAUCAGGAGGAACACCGGUGGCGAAGGCGGGUCUCUGGGCAGUAACUGACGCUGAGGAGCGAAAGCAUGGGUAGCGAACAGGAUUAGAUACCCUGGUAGUCCAUGCCGUAAACGGUGGGCGCUAGGUGUAGGGGUCUUCCACGACUUCUGUGCCGUAGCUAACGCAUUAAGCGCCCCGCCUGGGGAGUACGGCCGCAAGGCUAAAACUCAAAGGAAUUGACGGGU
rnacentral:rRNA from 1 species